AUGAGGGUGGUAACCGAAGGAAUUGAUGAAGUAAAUGAGACAAUGCAUGAUAGAGACCAAAACAGUCAAAUUGUUCCAUAUAGUCCAAGUGCAACUUUAAUGAAUCAGUAUCCUUCAGCCAGCUAUCAACCAUUAGCAGUUCUGUUUGAGAGAGUUAUAUUGCAGAAAAGACCUGAGGAGGAACGUAUCCAUGAUCUAGUUGUGUGUACUUUUCACUUGCAAUUUUUUACUGAACUACUCCACGUAAUGUGGUCCUUACACUUUUCCAGAAUUACGUCGCAGAAGUGUUCAACAUCUUGA
rnacentral:rRNA from 1 species